rnacentral:sRNA from 2 species
CUUACCCUCAUGAUAUGUCAACUCUAGGGAAUUCUGUUCCAGAGCUCCUCUCAAGAUUAUCACGUUUUGCAGGCUUCCAAAACGUCUCAAGCAAACCGCUGGCACUUCGUGGAACUUUCUCGCUAUCAUUGAUCGCGAAACUAUCCUCUCUUGGAAUUGUGCCGGUGAAAGGAAUGAACAUACUAAAUUCUGAACUUGACUUCAUCGCGAACGGCUUAUGUUCAAGCACUGACCAAAUCGCGCGCGAUCAACUUGAUAUCCUCCGAAAGCAAUUAGCUAGGCUCCUUCAAGAGCUUUUGUGUUGUCAUGGGGAUUUGAUCGACCCCGUGUCACUCGGAAGCGCUGCAUCAUACCUAGACACGCUUGUUCGUGAUUCAGACCUCAGCGGUCUUGUCAAUACCCAAAUACCACCACUUAAAUUGCGAGAUAAUUCUGACAAACUUCACUAUUUCAAUGAAUUUACGUCG